UGUGACCAGACCAGGUCUUCAAAUCCCAUUAUUUAGGAGGGGAAUCCUAUUUGCAUACUGAUGGCCCUGUGCUGUUCAGGUACAUCUUCCUUAUUGUUCAUAUGAGGAUAAAACUUCUGAAGCUGAUUUCCAAGAGUCUGGCUCCAUCUUUUUUUCAAUCUCCCUUCAGCAAAGUGCAGAGUACAAGGAAGACUAAACUGUCAGAAGAUCUCUUGGUGUUAUUGACUGACUGUCUUAUAGCAGUACUUGAAGAAUUUCCUGCAGAUAUUCCAUAUGGGCUUUUCUCAUAAAAUUGUGUGAGAUGCAGCAAUCUUCACUCAUCUUGAUUUUUGACUGGGGAACUGAGGUAAAAUAAUAAAAAC
rnacentral:lncRNA from 1 species